UUGAACUGGAGAGUUUGAUUCUGGCUCAGAUUGAACGCUGGCGGCGUGCUUAACACAUGCAAGUCGUACGCGAAAGGGACUUCGGUCCCGAGUAAAGUGGCGCACGGGUGAGUAACACGUGGAUAAUCUGUCUCUAUGAUGGGGAUAACAGUUGGAAACGACUGCUAAUACCGAAUACGCUCAUGAU
rnacentral:rRNA from 1 species